rnacentral:sRNA from 1 species
GAUAAAGGAACUUCUGCUAAAACCGCACACGUCCUGUGUGCAACGAGAAGCCGCCACUUCCUGUGGA